rnacentral:rRNA from 1 species
UACAGAGGGUCCCAAGCGUUGUUCGGAUUCAUUGGGCGUAAAGGGUGCGUAGGUGGCGCCGUAAGUCGGGUGUGAAAUUUCGGAGCUUAACUCCGAAACUGCAUUCGAUACUGCGGUGCUUGAGGACUGGAGAGGAGACUGGAAUUCAUGGUGUAGCAGUGAAAUGCGUAGAGAUCAUGAGGAAGACCAGUGGCGAAGGCGGGUCUCUGGACAGUUCCUGACACUGAGGCACGAAGGCCAGGGGAGCAAACGGG